rnacentral:lncRNA from 9 species
CGGGCUGGGGCUGGGGUCAGGGCGCGGGCUGGGGCCGGGGUUCGAGGGCGCGCUGAAGCCAGGGAAGCGGGACCCCGCCGGCCGCCUCAGACCAGCGCCGGGGCGCGCGCCCUGCUCCCGCUACUCGGCCGGGCGCGCGCCAGGCGACGGCUCAACCGAAGGCCCGGAGCCCGGACUGGCCGUCCGGAGCGCGCGCGUGGUGACGUCACGGCCGCGCGCCCAAUCGCCGCCCGCGAGGCCGCCCCGCGCGAUCGCGGUCCCGGCCCCGGCCCCGCGGCGCGGCUCCCUCCACGCUGGCUGCAGGCCGGGCACCCGGGUGAUCACCCACGCCCCUGCCUUGGGGCGGAAAGAAGACUCCGGUUAGGAGGCUCUCUGGCGCGGGGCCUGCUCGAGCCGCCCGGAUCCGGGAAGGCGGAGGCUCGGAACUGCCCUGAUCUGGAUGUCGUGGGGAAUCCUGAAACUACUGGGGCUCCUGCCGUUCUAGUGAGGCUGGGGUGGGGAAGAGGGCCGGCCAGGCCCAGGAGUGCCAGCCUGUGGUCAGGAUCCAGCUUUGGGAAGAUCAGUCUGACUUGCAGCUGGGAUAAUGGACCUGUGUGGUGGACCCAGAUGUGCCGCUGCGGACCCCUUCAAGGGGGCUCUUCCUGCCCAGCCACCAGCUGCCAGCUCCUACAGGGUCUGCUUUGGCUGCCGAGAGCCACGUCACUGCUGGUCUCACCCUUCCCAGGGGCAGCCACAUCCCUGACUGAGGGGCUGGAGUGCAAAGGCCUGGCCAGCACUGCCAGUGCAGGACUCUGGUAGGCAGCACUUAAAGCACCCCGCCUGGACGUCCUUCCCACCAAAGCAGGGGACGCCAGAACCGAGGGGGGCCCUCCCCAGUGUGCCAGCGGAAAAGGAAUUAGAGAACUGUUCACACUUCCACCCAAGCGCUCCACGGCGAGGUCCCGCUGUGUGCUGUACCCUUGCAGGGGACUGGGGAACCUGGCGACUAGAAGAGACACCUUCGUCACAGCAGUCACUGCCGGGAGUCACCUCUGGCCCCCAGGAGCCUCUGGAAUGCGUCUAGUGGGUGGUGACCCAUUCACAUUUGCAUUUUGCCACAUCCCUCUCUGGGAUCUGGAUCCCUCUGGGGCACAAGCCUGGAAAACUGCCUCCCUCCCCAGUCCUUAAGUCCCUGCAGUAUUUCACAAGUUUGGAAUUAGGAUUCCUCUUCAAAGAAAAAAAUCUGCAUUUAGAAUAGUGCAAUCAACAUGUAAAUUUAUUCAAAACUUGCAAGUGUGUGUGUGGAUUUUCUUGAAGAAAGUUAUUUGGGGCUGGCUGAUCUUUUCCUGCCCAGUGCAGGCCUCCUUGGGCCCAGCCCUACUGUCUCCUGGAGGUCCUAGGCCCUUCUCAUCGAGUCUGGCCAGCCGAACAGCCCCAGUCCUGGCCUCUGGGAGAGCAGAGGGUCUCCCUGGUCACUGCAAAGGGGAAGAGGCCCUCCCGGGACUGAAGGAAACCCCGCAGAGAUAGUGUCCUGAGGAAGCCAUC